UCUUCGGAGAGUUUGAUCCUGGCUCAGGAUGAACGCUGGCGGCGUGCCUAAUACAUGCAAGUCGAGCGAACUGAUUAGAAGCUUGCUUCUAUGACGUUAGCGGCGGACGGGUGAGUAACACGUGGGCAA
rnacentral:rRNA from 1 species